AUUGAACGCUGGCGGCAGGCCUAACACAUGCAAGUCGAACGAGUGGCGGACGGGUGAGUAAUGUCUGGGAAACUGCCUGAUGGAGGGGGAUAACUACUGGAAACGGUAGCUAAUACCGCAUACCAUCGGAUGUGCCCAGAUGGGAUUAGCUUGUAGGUGGGGUAAAGUCUCACCAAGGCGACGAUCCCUAGCUGGUCUGAGAGGAUGACCAGCCACACUGGAACUGAGACACGGUCCAUACUCCUACGGUCGGCAGCAGUGGGGAAUAUGGCACAAUGGGCGCAAGCCUGAUGCAGCCAGGCCGCGUGUAUGAAGAAGGCCUUCGGGUUGUAAAGUACUUUCAGCGGGGAGGCGUUACCCGCAGAAGAAGCACCGGCUAACUCCGUGCCAGCCGCCGCGGUAAUUC
rnacentral:rRNA from 1 species